rnacentral:rRNA from 1 species
UGGGGAAUAUUGCACAAUGGGCGCAAGCCUGAUGCAGCCAUGCCGCGUGUAUGAAGAAGGCCUUCGGGUUGUAAAGUACUUUCAGUCGGGAGGAAGGUGGUAAGGUUAAUAACCUUAUCAAUUGACGUUACCCGCAGAAGAAGCACCGGCUAACUCCGUGCCAGCAGCCGCGGUAAUACGGAGGGUGCAAGCGUUAAUCGGAAUUACUGGGCGUAAAGCGCACGCAGGCGGUUUGUUAAGUCAGAUGUGAAAUCCUCGGGCUCAACCUGGGAACUGCAUCUGAUACUGGCAAGCUUGAGUCUCGUAGAGGGGGGUAGAAUUCCAGGUGUAGCGGUGAAAUGCGUAGAGAUCUGGAGGAAUACCGGUGGCGAAGGCGGCCCCCUGGACGAAGACUGACGCUCAGGUGCGAAAGCGGGGGGAGCAAACAGG